CCUACGGGGGGCAGCAGUGGGGGAUAUUGCACAAUGUGGGGAACCCUGAUGCAGCGACGCCGCGUGGGUGAAGAAGCGCCUCGGCGCGUAAAGCCCUGUCAGCAGGGACGAAAAUGACGGUACCUGACGAAGAAGCCCCGGCUAACUCCGUGCCAGCAGCCGCGGUAAUACGUAGGGGGCAAGCGUUAUCCGGAGUUACUGGGUGUAAAGGGGGCGCAGACGGCGAUGCAAGCCAGGAGUGAAAGCCCGGGGCCCAACCCCGGGACUGCUCUUGGAACUGCGUGGCGGGAGUGCAGGAGGGGCAGGCGGAAUUCGUGGUGUAGCGGUGAAAUGCGUAGAUAUCAGGAGGAACACCGGUGGCGAAGGCGGCCUGCUGGACUGCAACUGACGUUGAGGCCCGAAAGCGUGGGGAGCAAACAGGAUUAGAUACCCGUGUAGUC
rnacentral:rRNA from 1 species